AAAGGAUUAGUUAAUCUAUAACAUCAGAAUGUCAAACUGAAAUAAUCAGGAAGAUAUCCUUUU
rnacentral:tRNA from 1 species